GCCCGGAUGGCGGAAUUGGUAGACGCACUGGACUCAAAAUCCAGCGCCCGCAAGGGUGUGCGGGUUCGACCCCCGCUCCGGGUA
rnacentral:tRNA from 1 species